rnacentral:rRNA from 1 species
CAACGCCUACGGGGGGCAGCAGUGGGGAAUAUUGCACAAUGGGGGAAACCCUGAUGCAGCAACGCCGCGUGAGUGAAGAAGUAUUUCGGUAUGUAAAGCUCUAUCAGCAGGGAAGAAAAAAGACGGUACCUGACUAAGAAGCCCUGGCUAACUACGUGCCAGCAGCCGCGGUAAUACGUAGGGGGCAAGCGUUAUCCGGAUUUACUGGGUGUAAAGGGAGCGUAGACGGCAUUGCAAGUCUGAUGUGAAAGAUUGGGGCUCAACCCCAGGCCUGCAUUGGAAACUGUAAAGCUUGAGUACAGGAG